rnacentral:lncRNA from 1 species
AAAAAAAAAACCUUCAAAUACCAUGCACUUUUUCACUUUAGUACCAUGUGGUUUAAAGUGCAUCAAUUCAGUACCCUGUAGUUUCGCACUUUCUCACUUUAGUACCUUAUAGUUUAAAGCGCAUCAAUUUAGUACUCUAUGGUUUCAUUUUUUUCUUUUCGUCGGCUCCUCUGUCAAUAUUUUAUUAAAUUAUAUACAUAAAACUUCAGAUACCCUACCUAGGUUUAUUGAACAUUUACUUUAGUACCCUUUAGUUUUAACUUUGUCACUGAUUUUUUUUUACUCUGUUAAUAUUUCGUUAAAUUAUAUACAAAAAAUUUUAGAUACCUUAUCUAAGCUUAUCGAAUAUUGACUUUAGUACCCUUUAAUUUUAACUUUGUCACUGAUUUAACAAAAAAAUUA